GGUCCGUGACUGAAUUAAAGUAUAUAACUAUGCCUAAGCCUUAUUAUAGUAAUUGGUAUUGUCAUCUGAUAAAGUCAUGUCGAUUAUAAGAUACACAGUUUUCUCUGCUUUCAAAUCUUUCUGUUUGAACCCGUCGACCUGGAACUUAUCAAUUAUUGGAAAUAUUAAUUAUUUGGAUAACAAAAGGUCCAGGCUAUCCAGGAAUGG
rnacentral:lncRNA from 1 species